rnacentral:rRNA from 1 species
UUAAGUUAUUAAGGGCGCACGGUGGAUGCCUUGGCACUAGAAGCCAAUGAAGGACGUUACUAACGACGAUAUGCUUUGGGGAGCUGUAAGUAAGCUUUGAUCCAGAGAUUUCCGAAUGGGGAAACCCAGCAUGAGUUAUGUCAUGUUAUCGAUAUGUGAAUACAUAGCAUAUCAGAAGGCACACCCGGAGAACUGAAACAUCUUAGUACCCGGAGGAAGAGAAAGAAAAUUCGAUUCCCUUAGUAGCGGCGAGCGAAACGGGAAGAGCCCAAACCAACAAGCUUGCUUGUUGGGGUUGUAGGACACUCUAUACGGAGUUACAAAGGACGACAUUAGACGAAUCAUCUGGAAAGAUGAAUCAAAGAAGGUAAUAAUCCUGUAGUCGAAAAUGUUGUCUCUCUUGAGUGGAUCCUGAGUACGACGGAGCACGUGAAAUUCCGUCGGAAUCUGGGAGGACCAUCUCCUAAGGCUAAAUACUCUCUAGUGACCGAUAGUGAACCAGUACCGUGAGGGAAAGGUGAAAAGCACCCCGGAAGGGGAGUGAAAUAGAACCUGAAACCGUGUGCUUACAAGUAGUCAGAGCCCGUUAAUGGGUGAUGGCGUGCCUUUUGUAGAAUGAACCGGCGAGUUACGAUUUGAUGCAAGGUUAAGCAGUAAAUGUGGAGCCGUAGCGAAAGCGAGUCUGAAUAGGGCGUUUAGUAUUUGGUCGUAGACCCGAAACCAGGUGAUCUACCCUUGGUCAGGUUGAAGUUCAGGUAACACUGAAUGGAGGACCGAACCGACUUACGUUGAAAAGUGAGCGGAUGAACUGAGGGUAGCGGAGAAAUUCCAAUCGAACCUGGAGAUAGCUGGUUCUCUCCGAAAUAGCUUUAGGGCUAGCCUCAAGUGAUGAUUAUUGGAGGUAGAGCACUGUUUGGACGAGGGGCCCCUCUCGGGUUACCGAAUUCAGACAAACUCCGAAUGCCAAUUAAUUUAACUUGGGAGUCAGAACAUGGGUGAUAAGGUCCGUGUUCGAAAGGGAAACAGCCCAGACCACCAGCUAAGGUCCCAAAAUAUAUGUUAAGUGGAAAAGGAUGUGGCGUUGCCCAGACAACUAGGAUGUUGGCUUAGAAGCAGCCAUCAUUUAAAGAGUGCGUAAUAGCUCACUAGUCGAGUGACACUGCGCCGAAAAUGUACCGGGGCUAAACAUAUUACCGAAGCUGUGGAUUGUCCUUUGGACAAUGGUAGGAGAGCGUUCUAAGGGCGUUGAAGCAUGAUCGUAAGGACAUGUGGAGCGCUUAGAAGUGAGAAUGCCGGUGUGAGUAGCGAAAGACGGGUGAGAAUCCCGUCCACCGAUUGACUAAGGUUUCCAGAGGAAGGCUCGUCCGCUCUGGGUUAGUCGGGUCCUAAGCUGAGGCCGACAGGCGUAGGCGAUGGAUAACAGGUUGAUAUUCCUGUACCACCUAUAAUCGUUUUAAUCGAUGGGGGGACGCAGUAGGAUAGGCGAAGCGUGCGAUUGGAUUGCACGUCUAAGCAGUAAGGCUGAGUAUUAGGCAAAUCCGGUACUCGUUAAGGCUGAGCUGUGAUGGGGAGAAGACAUUGAGUCUUCGAGUCGUUGAUUUCACACUGCCGAGAAAAGCCUCUAGAUAGAAAAUAGGUGCCCGUACCGCAAACCGACACAGGUAGUCAAGAUGAGAAUUCUAAGGUGAGCGAGCGAACUCUCGUUAAGGAACUCGGCAAAAUGACCCCGUAACUUCGGGAGAAGGGGUGCUCUUUAGGGUUAACGCCCAGAAGAGCCGCAGUGAAUAGGCCCAAGCGACUGUUUAUCAAAAACACAGGUCUCUGCUAAACCGUAAGGUGAUGUAUAGGGGCUGACGCCUGCCCGGUGCUGGAAGGUUAAGAGGAGUGGUUAGCUUCUGCGAAGCUACGAAUCGAAGCCCCAGUAAACGGCGGCCGUAACUAUAACGGUCCUAAGGUAGCGAAAUUCCUUGUCGGGUAAGUUCCGACCCGCACGAAAGGCGUAACGAUUUGGGCACUGUCUCAACGAGAGACUCGGUGAAAUCAUAGUACCUGUGAAGAUGCAGGUUACCCGCGACAGGACGGAAAGACCCCGUGGAGCUUUACUGUAGCCUGAUAUUGAAAUUCGGCACAGCUUGUACAGGAUAGGUAGGAGCCUUUGAAACGUGAGCGCUAGCUUACGUGGAGGCGCUGGUGGGAUACUACCCUAGCUGUGUUGGCUUUCUAACCCGCACCACUUAUCGUGGUGGGAGACAGUGUCAAGCGGGCAGUUUGACUGGGGCGGUCGCCUCCUAAAAGGUAACGGAGGCGCUCAAAGGUUCCCUCAGAAUGGUUGGAAAUCAUUCAUAGAGUGUAAAGGCAUAAGGGAGCUUGACUGCGAGACCUACAAGUCGAGCAGGGUCGAAAGACGGACUUAGUGAUCCGGUGGUUCCGCAUGGAAGGGCCAUCGCUCAACGGAUAAAAGCUACCCCGGGGAUAACAGGCUUAUCUCCCCCAAGAGUUCACAUCGACGGGGAGGUUUGGCACCUCGAUGUCGGCUCAUCGCAUCCUGGGGCUGUAGUCGGUCCCAAGGGUUGGGCUGUUCGCCCAUUAAAGCGGUACGCGAGCUGGGUUCAGAACGUCGUGAGACAGUUCGGUCCCUAUCCGUCGUGGGCGUAGGAAAUUUGAGAGGAGCUGUCCUUAGUACGAGAGGACCGGGAUGGACAUACCUCUGGUGUACCAGUUGUCGUGCCAACGGCAUAGCUGGGUAGCUAUGUGUGGACGGGAUAAGUGCUGAAAGCAUCUAAGCAUGAAGCCCCCCUCAAGAUGAGAUUUCCCAACUUCGGUUAUAAGAUCCCUCAAAGAUGAUGAGGUUAAUAGGUUCGAGGUGGAAGCAUGGUGACAUGUGGAGCUGACGAAUACUAAUCGAUCGAAGACUUAAUCAA